rnacentral:rRNA from 1 species
UAUGUGAUCGUCUCUCGCAUAUCAAUAGCGGAGGAAAAGAAACUAACAAGGAUUCCCCUAGUAACGGCGAGUGAAGCGGGAAGAGCUCAAAUUUGAAAUCUUAAAGGGUUUCCCUUUACGAAUUGUAGUUUAAAGAAGUGUUUUCUGUUGAGGUUUUGGUAAAAGUUCUUUGGAAUAGGACAUCAUAGAGGGUGAGAAUCCCGUAUUUGACCUUUACUUUCAACUUUGUGAUACACUUUCAAAGAGUCGGAUUGUUUGGGAAUGCAGUCCAAAAUGGGUGGUAAAUUUCAUCUAAAGCUAAAUAUUGGCGAGAGACCGAUAGCGAACAAGUACCGUGAGGGAAAGAUGAAAAGAACUUUGAAAAGAGAGUUAAACAGUACGUGAAAUUGUCAAAAGGGAAGCGUUUGACACCAGUGUUGUUUUUCUGAAAAUCAAUUAAAGAACUGUUUAUGCUAAGCUGUUUAGACUUUAUCAGCUAUCUGUUUAGUUUUGAGCUUUUCUUUAAUGCACUUUUCAGUUAACAAGUCAACAUCAAUUUCUUUUGCUGUAAAAAAGCUUGAGGAAGGUGGCUUGAGAUUCGUCUUAAGUGUUUAUAGCCUCUUGCCUAUGCAGUCGGAGAGAUUGAGGUCUGCAGCGUAGAUCCUUCGGGGCUAAAUGCAUUUGUGCUAAGUUAUAGCAUUUUAUAGACAACUUGUUGACUAUGAUUUGUCUUGUAGCUUACUCGCUUAUGUUAUUUUACCUACGCUUAGGAUGUUGAUCUCUCACAGUCGAGC